rnacentral:tRNA from 1 species
GGUGAGGUGGCCGAGUGGUCUAAGGCGCUAGCUUAAGGUAUUCUUUCUCGGUAUUAAAUACUGAUCGCUAGUUCGAAAGAGCGCGAGUUCGAAUCUCGCCCUCAUCA